rnacentral:rRNA from 1 species
UAAUACGUAGGGAGCAAGCGUUAUCCGGAAUUACUGGGCGUAAAGGGCGUGUAGGCGGCUACUUAAGCCAGAUGUUAAAUGUUACAGCUCAACUGUAAACCUGCAUCUGGAACUGGGUAGCUAGAGGACGAGAGAGGAAAGUGGAAUUCCUAGUGUAGCGGUGGAAUGCGUAGAUAUUAGGAGGAACACCAGUGGCGAAGGCGGCUUUCUGGCUCGUACCUGACGCUGAGGCGCGAAAGCGUGGGGAGCAAACAGG